UCCCUAGUGGCUGAGAGGGUAAAGAGUCUGUCUGCAAUGCAGGAGACCCUGGUUCAAUCCCUGGGUUGGGAA
rfam:TPA: Bos taurus chromosome 1, whole genome shotgun sequence.